rnacentral:lncRNA from 1 species
CAGCCUCCCUGGGCUCCCUGCACCCAACUCAGGCCCCGUGGCCUGACUGCCGUGACUGCCACCCCAGAGCCUCCAUGUAGCCCCCAGGCCUUGUCCACGAUGUCACCGAAGGACGCUGGGGACCCGCAGAUCCGGCCGUGCCCAAGGGUAUCCUUCGGGUGCCACGCAGACAGUCACUGGUCGCCUUGGUAACACAGAGCCCCUGGCAGACGAGGACGGGUGCAGGACAGCAUCCCCACCAGAGAUCCUGUGCCCGCCCUACACGGAGGCCUUCAAAGCCCUGCCCACGCUAUGACCCCUGCUGCAGACCCCAGAGGGACGCCUGACCUCCCUCAGCUCUCGGCCCACAGCGGCCUGGUGAAGAGCCCCGUUGCCCCGAGUCCUCACUGCCUGCCACAGCCACAGCCUCCAGGAGGCCCGGCAUGGCAGCCUCAAGGGUGAAGUCACGGGGUCAGCUGGGCCGAGGGGCUCAGGCACCAGCCAGACCACACCCUGUGAACACGCAGACCCCGGCAGGCCCCACAGGCCGAAGCCACUGAGGUCCCUCCCAGCCCCACACGAGAGAGGACAGAGGUUGCCAGGCCCUGACCGGGGUCCAACAUGCAGGAGUGAUGCUGUGGACAGGCACCUUGGAGACAACACAGGGACACCCAGGCUGGGCCCCAGGACCGAGGCAGGCACCCCAGAGUUACCAGCCCCCUGAUAACUGGAGACAGCUCCAGGUGACCUUCCUGGAAACGGGGCUGCUGCAGGUGUCACAGGGCUGCCCCCACCUCCAGGAGGAAGCGGGGCAGGGACACCGUGGGCAUCUGCACACCUGCAUCACAUGGCCGGCCACCAGGCAGCACUGGACUGGGCGCACUCGGGCGGACCCUGCCCUGCCCCUCCUCAGAGCCCCGGCCGCCCCAGGCCUGACUCGGGCCCCUACUGAGGGCCCCGUCUGCUCGUAGCACCCAGCGAGCCACGAGGCCCUCACGCUUCAGGCUGGGCUGUGACCCUGCAGAGCUGACACUGACUCCUAACUGUCAGGUACGACUUCUGCCAACAGAGCCGGGAUGCAGCUCAGCGGCACUGCGCCUGCCUGGUGAGCACAAAGUACUGAGUUCCAUCCCCGGUGCCACAAAAAAGGCUUAUCAACAGGUGCUUGUGGUUUGUUGACUUUUAAUACAAGUUUGAAGUGGAGUCCUCAUAAAUCAGCUCAGCCAGAUGGGAAACCACGGUAAAGCCUUUAAGAGCGCAGAGCGAAAGCUCAGGCUCCCCGUGUCCGGGGCCCUCACGCUGAGCUGCGUCCCAGCCCGUUCUUUAGUUUUAUUUUGAGACAGGCUGUGGCUCCAGCUUGCCACCCUCCUGCCUCAGCCCACCAGAGUGCUGGGAUUACCUUCGUCCUCACCAAAAAGAGGCAGCUGGCGGUGAGGGCGGUGCAGACCCUGAGCUGCGUGGGCGCUGAGGACACCUCUGGCCACCACCUGAGCACCACACUCGGUGCCUUGUGCGCCCGGCUGCUGCUUUCUGUUCGUGUCCUCUGUGGGGUUGUGGGGCAGAAGCCCAGGUGCUUGGUGCCGCCAGGGGCGUGGACAGCUUCAGGGGGCAGCUGCUUUCUUCUCUCUGCAGUGGCGAGAGCAGCGGGCGGCACAGGGGCAGCGCACGGGUCCGGCAGCCCAAGUUUCCUUGCCCUCUCGCCUGCACCC